rnacentral:rRNA from 1 species
AUGAAAGACCUUGGAGUAGCUGAUGUUAUCUUGAACAUCAAGCUUUUAAGAGGUGGUGAUGGUGGGAUCACUCUCUUGCAGUCUCACUAUGUGGAGAAGAUUCUGGAUCGCUUUGGAUAUUCAGAUUGCAAGCCUUCUCCGACACCUUAUGAUCCGAGUGUUUUGAUUCGGAAGAACGAAGGAGAAACAAAGGAUCAAUUGAGAUAUUCUCAAAUCAUUGGCUCGCUUAUGUAUUUAGCUAGUGCUACGAGGCCUGACAUCUCAUUUUCUCUUAAAGCCACAAGUGGUUAUGUGUUUACACUUGGUGGUGCAGCUGUUUCCUGGAAGUCUUGCAAGCAGACCAUCUUAACAAGGUCAACAAUGGAAGCAGAACUCACAGUGUUAGACAUGGCAACAGUUGAAGCAGAAUGGCUUCGAGAACUUUUGAUGGACUUGCCGGUGGUUGAAAAACCAAUACCAGCUAUUCUUAUGAAUUGUGAUAAUCAAAAUGUGAUCGUCAAGAAAGAACACACCUAUAUGAGUUAG